UCCUCCUGGACUUCGAUGGAAGGAAGGUCUUGGCUAGGGAGUCUAACCUACAAGUAGAUCAUCAUCUCGUUGUUCGACAGCUUGAAGCAUACACUAAGCAGCAGCUUCAAGUUUGCUUCCAUCUUUGUCCUUCUUUCCUUAGGUGCUCCAUUUCCUCACCCUAGAAGUCCUCACACUCUCUUUUUGUUCUUCACUUCUUCUUGGCCCCACUAUAUUCUUUUCUCACCUCAUCGAUUUGAGGAGUUUUAUACUGUUGUCAUCAAUCCUAGGAUGCCGACAUAGUGUCUCCCCUAGCUAAGUUGAUUCUUGCACAUUAGCUUCUUAUGUAUGGAGAGCUUCUAUAUUUAUUUAUAGUCAAGAUCUU
rnacentral:lncRNA from 1 species